AUUGAACGCUGGCGGCAUGCUUUACACAUGCAAGUCGAACGGCAGCGCGGGCUUCGGCCUGGCGGCGAGUGGCGAACGGGUGAGUAAUGCAUCGGAACGUGCCCAGUAGUGGGGGAUAGCCCGGCGAAAGCCGGAUUAAUACCUCAUACGACCUGAGGGUGAAAGCGGGGGACCGAAAGGCCUCGCGCUAUUGGAGCGGCCGAUGUCGGAUUAGCUAGUUGGUGGGGUAAAGGCUUACCAAGGCGACGAUCCGUAGCUGGUCUGAGAGGACGACCAGCCACACUGGGACUGAGACACGGCCCAGACUCCUACGGGAGGCAGCAGUGGGGAAUUUUGGACAAUGGGGGCAACCCUGAUCCAGCCAUGCCGCGUGCGGGAAGAAGGCCUUCGGGUUGUAAACCGCUUUUGUUCGGGAAGAAAUCCUAUGGGCUAAUACCCCGGGGGGAUGACGGUACCGGAAGAAUAAGCACCGGCUAACUACGUG
rnacentral:rRNA from 1 species